AAGUCGUAACAAGGUUUCCGUAGGUGAACCUGCGGAAGGAUCAUUAACAAAUCUAUGAGCGAAAGCUCAUCAACCUUUGUGAAUUGGGUUGUAUAGUUGGUAACAAAUAUACAAUUUCGUUGGGGUCCCUUUGUGUAAUAGAAAGAUUAUUUCUAAAGAUUUUCUGAAGAUUAUUUCUAAAGAAUAUUUCUAAAAGAAUAUUUUGAAAGAUUUAAUUUUUUCUAUUGCAUAUAUAUAUUAACAUUGUCUGAUUAUAGAUUGAAGUCGUAAGAUUUCAAAUAAAAAUACAACUUUUAACAAUGGAUCUCUAGGCUCUU
rnacentral:misc_RNA from 1 species